UACGGGGGGGGCAAGCGUUGUUCGGAAUUACUAGGCGUAAAGGGCUCGUAGGUGGCCAACUAAGUCAGACGUGAAAUCCCUCGGCUUAACCGGGGAACUGCGUCUGAUACUGGAUGGCUUGAGUUUGGGAGAGGGAUGCGGAAUUCCAGGUGUAGCGGUGAAAUGCGUAGAUAUCUGGAGGAACACCGGUGGCGAAGGCGGCAUCCUGGACCAACACUGACACUGAGGAGCGAAAGCCAGGGGAGCAAACAGG
rnacentral:rRNA from 1 species